CCUACGGGUGACAGCAGUGGGGGAUAUUGCACAAUGGGGGAAACCCUGAUGCAGCGACGCCGCGUGGGUGAAGAAGUAUUUCGGUAUGUAAAGCCCUAUCAGCAGGGAAGAAGAAAUGACUGUACCUGAGUAAGAAGCACAGGCUAAAUACGGGCCAGCAGCCGCGGUAAGACGUAGGGUGCAAGCGUUAUCCGGAUUUACUGGGUGAAAAGGGAGUGCAGGCGGCAGGGCAAGCCUGAUGUGAAAGCCCGCGGCCAAACCGCGGGACUGCAUUGGGAACUGCCGGGCGUGAGGGCCGGAGAGGUAGGCGGAAUUCCUAGUGUAGCGGUGAAAUGCGUAGAUAUUAGGAGGAACACCAGUGGCGAAGGCGGCCUACUGGACGGUGACUGACGCUGAGGCUCGAAAGCGUGGGGAGCAAACAGGAUUAGAUACCCGAGUAGUC
rnacentral:rRNA from 1 species